rnacentral:rRNA from 1 species
GAUGGGCGCAGCCUGACCCAGCAACGCCGCGUGAAGGAAGAAGGCUUUCGGGUUGUAAACUUCUUUUAUUAAGGACGAAAAAUGACGGUACUUAAUGAAUAAGCUCCGGCUAACUACGUGCCAGCAGCCGCGGUAAUACGUAGGGAGCAAGCGUUGUCCGGAUUUACUGGGUGUAAAGGGUGCGUAGGCGGCUUUGCAAGUCAGAUGUGAAAUCUAUGGGCUCAACCCAUAAACUGCAUUUGAAACUGUAGAGCUUGAGUGAAGUAGAGGCAGGCGGAAUUCCCCGUGUAGCGGUGAAAUGCGUAGAGAUGGGGAGGAACACCAGUGGCGAAGGCGGCCUGCUGGGCUUUAACUGACGCUGAGGCACGAAAGCGUGGGUAGCAAACAGGAUUAGAUACCCUGGUAGUCCAAGGGCGAAUUC